rnacentral:lncRNA from 1 species
GGCGCCGAGAUUUCUGGGAGCUAAGGGUCGCAUUGGUUCAUGAGUGAGUUUCGGAAGGUGCUGCGUAGGACCCCCGCCAGAGUGAGCAGCCGGGCAUGGUGGUUUGUGGUUCUUGUGUGGGUGGCACCGGGGAGCCGAGUCGCCGCCGCAGCCCGUGACGAUCGUACAGGCCGCGGUGCAGGGAUGGUGGUCCGGAGCUGAAGCCGAGCCCGGGGCGGUCACCGGUGCAGCGCCUCAGACACUGAGAAAAGCAAAGGAGGGUGGGAUGGGGAGAAACUCCCACUUCACACACGAUCUGUGUGAGCAGCUGCUUAAGCUAACGGAGAUUUAGUAGCCCUGCAGUUAGGCUGCAAUUCUUAUUUGACAGCUAAAAAUGGCAAAGGUUCUCUUGUAGCCUAGGCUAGCUUCGAACUCCCGAUUCUUUUGCUUUCACCUCCCAAGCUCUGGAAUCACAGGAGUACCCCCAUCAUACCCAGUUCAGGAUGGGUUCUUGAUACUUGGUUGGGUGGAGUUCCGAUUUUCUGAGCAUCGCGGAAGUUACAGCCUUGAUAAAUGUUGUGGUAACUGCUUUAGAAGAAAAUUGAGUCAACAAGAUUCUGGGGUAAUGGUUGCCCAUGUAAAUGUCACUGGGGACUUUAAACAAAUUUUAACAUAAUAAGUUUGACUGUGACUUUAAAAGAAAUUUGUUUUUUAUUGGGUUCUUUGCUGUAGUGUGAGGUUUCUGGUAGAACAGCAAAUCUUGGCCGGACAGUUACAUUGUGAGAUCCUAUAAUU